rnacentral:rRNA from 1 species
AGUGAACGCUGGCGGCGUGCCUAAUACAUGCAAGUCGAGCGAACAGACGAGGAGCUUGCUCCUCUGACGUUAGCGGCGGACGGGUGAGUAACACGUGGAUAACCUACCUAUAAGACUGGGAUAACUUCGGGAAACCGGAGCUAAUACCGGAUAAUAUAUUGAACCGCAUGGUUCAAUAGUGAAAGACGGUUUUGCUGUCACUUAUAGAUGGAUCCGCGCCGCAUUAGCUAGUUGGUAAGGUAACGGCUUACCAAGGCAACGAUGCGUAGCCGACCUGAGAGGGUGAUCGGCCACACUGGAACUGAGACACGGUCCAGACUCCUACGGGAGGCAGCAGUAGGGAAUCUUCCGCCAUGGGCGAAAGCCUGACGGAGCAACGCCGCGUGAGUGAUGAAGGUCUUCGGAUCGUAAAACUCUGUUAUUAGGGAAGAACAAAUGUGUAAGUAACUAUGCACGUCUUGACGGUACCUAAUCAGAAAGCCACGGCUAACUACGUG